UACGAACUGUGCAAACGUUAUUCGGAAUCACUGGGCUUAAAGGGUGCGUAGGCGGUUUGUUAAGUAGGGUGUGAAAGCCCCCGGCUCAACCGGGGAAUUGCGCCCUAAACUGGCGGACUAGAGUGAGAUAGGGGUGUGCGGAACUUCCGGUGGAGCGGUGAAAUGUGUUGAUAUCGGAAGGAACGCCGGUGGCGAAAGCGGCACACUGGGUCUCAACUUACGCUGAGGCACGAAAGCCAGGGAGCAAACGGG
rnacentral:rRNA from 1 species